GACGAACGCUGGCGGCGUGCCUAACACAUGCAAGUCGAACGGAGAUACGCGCUGAAUGGAUGGAGCUUGCUUUUGAAAUUCUUGUGUAUCUUAGUGGCGGACGGGUGAGUAACGCGUGAGCAACCUGCCUUUCAGAGGGGGAUAACGUUUGGAAACGAACGCUAAUACCGCAUGAGACCACAGUACUGCAUAGUACAGUGGCCAAAGGAGCAAUCCGCUGAAAGAUGGGCUCGCGUCCGAUUAGAUAGUUGGCGGGGUAACGGCCCACCAAGUCGACGAUCGGUAGCCGGACUGAGAGGUUGAACGGCCACAUUGGGACUGAGACACGGCCCAG
rnacentral:rRNA from 1 species